CGGCCAGUCGUUCAACGGUGAGAACACUCGUCUGAUGAGCGAGAAAUGCCGGUUCGACUCCGGUCUGGCCCA
rnacentral:tRNA from 1 species